AUUGAACGCUGGCGGCAGGCCUAACACAUGCAAGUCGAGCGAGCGGCGGACGGGUGAGUAAUGUCUGGGAAACUGCCUGAUGGAGGGGGAUAACUACUGGAAACGGUAGCUAAUACCGCAUACCAUCAGAUGUGCCCAGAUGGGAUUAGCUAGUAGGUGGGGUAACGGCUCACCUAGGCGACGAUCCCUAGCUGGUCUGAGAGGAUGACCAGCCACACUGGAAUUGAGACACGGUCCAGACUCCUCCGGGAGGCAGCCGUGGGGAAUAUUGCAGGAUGGGCGAGAGCCUGAUGAGGGCAUGCGGCGUGUGUGAAGAAGGCCUUUGGGUUGUAAAGCGCUAUCAGCGGGGAGGCGUUACCCGCAGAAGAAGCACCGGCUAACUCCGUGUCAGCAGCCGCGGUAAUAC
rnacentral:rRNA from 1 species